UGGAUUCAAAAUUUAAAUAGUAGGAGUCGUUUUGUCGCUGAUCAGAGUUGUGCAUGCAUGUAUAAGUAAUGUAGGGAUUAAUUAUGACUUAUGAGUGAAAACUAUGUAUUAUUUAACGCAAGCAUUAUUUAUGCGCAGAGAUAAGUUUUAUUUGUUCCACUGGCUAUAUAUUCUCAACAAAUUAAUAAAUAGAUUUUCUCAUAACUUAUAUAUGUAUUAGUUAUGCGUAUUUGAAAUUCCUAAAUUGUGAACCAAACAUUAUAUUGAUUUUAUACAUGAACAACUUAUUUCAAUCUACCUACCAAAUGUCGUAUAAGAUCUUAUCCAACUACGGGUUCAACAUCAGGAUUCUAUAUAAUUUAUUUGAUUUACUUUGUUAAAUUCUAUUAUAUGUACUUAUUUCGUGACUAUUCUUAACACAUGAAGUAUUGUUUGAUAGAGUGUUUUAGCAAAAAUAAUACUUAUACUAAUUUUAUGUAUUAGUAAUACCUUAUUUGGUACAGUUGUUCAUCUUUUAUAUAAUCAAUGCUUGUAUUAGUUAUACAAUCUAUUGUGUAUUACUAAUACUAUAAAUUUCUAGGUACUAGUAAUGCAAGGGGUUUAUCGUACGCAUUAGCAUGCUUAAAGACCCUAUUGCCCCUCAUUUUUUUUACAUUUUUCCCACCAUAAUUAUGAAGGGUAUUUUUGGCUCAUUCAAGGUUGACGCUCUCAACAUGAUUUUCUUCAUACUCAGGGCUCAAACUCGAGAUCUCUGAUUAAGAAUGAAACACUCCCAUCAGUGCACCACAAUCAAUGUUGGUUAGUACACUCUAUUUAAUGCGCUCUAUCAAACAAUCUGGAAUAGAGUUUGAGCAAAAACCACUGAAUUCGUAUGCAUAUGACUUUGAAUUUCCAUUGGUUGCAUUGUUGUACUCUUGACAUUAUUGUUUUGGAAACAAAGUACGUAAUGGUCCAUCUUUCUCCCUUCUAAUUAAUUUGGUGUUUUUCACAUUAGCUGUGGUCUAGUUGUUUUAUGUCAAAAUUGUCUAAAAGUGCCUACAAUCUAGGAGGAAUUUAGGGUUCCUAAUGUGUGAAUUAUUAUUGAGAAUGUAACAUGAGUCUGCUUGGUUCUUUGUAUCUAGUUUUGAUGAAGUAAUUAUAUUUUGAUUUAUUUCUAUUUUUUUU